UUGCAUAUCAAUAAGCGGAGGAAAAGAAACCAACCGGGAUUGCCUUAGUAACGGCGAGUGAAGCGGCAAAAGCUCAAAUUUGAAAUCUGGUACCUUCGGUGCCCGAGUUGUAAUUUGGAGAGGGCAACUUUGGGGCCGUUCCUUGUCUAUGUUCCUUGGAACAGGACGUCAUAGAGGGUGAGAAUCCCGUGUGGCGAGGAGUGCGGUUCUUUGUAAAGUGCCUUCGAAGAGUCGAGUUGUUUGGGAAUGCAGCUCUAAGUGGGUGGUAAAUUCCAUCUAAAGCUAAAUAUUGGCGAGAGACCGAUAGCGAACAAGUACAGUGAUGGAAAGAUGAAAAGAACUUUGAAAAGAGAGUGAAAAAGUACGUGAAAUUGUUGAAAGGGAAGGGCAUUUGAUCAGACAUGGUGUUUUGUGCCCUCUGCUCCUUGUGGGUAGGGGAAUCUCGCAUUUCACUGGGCCAGCAUCAGUUUUGGUGGCAGGAUAAAUCCAUAGGAAUGUAGCUUGCCUCGGUAAGUAUUAUAGCCUGUGGGAAUACUGCCAGCUGGGACUGAGGACUGCGACGUAAUCAAGAUGCUGCUAAUGAC
rnacentral:rRNA from 1 species